rnacentral:rRNA from 1 species
GAUGAACGCUGGCGGCGUGCCUAAUACAUGCCAGUCGAGCGAACGGACGAGAAGCUUGCUUCUCUGAUGUUAGCGGCGGACGGGUGAGUAACACGUGGAUAACCUACCUAUAAGACUGGGAUAACUUCGGGAAACCGUAGCUAAUACCGGAUAAUAUUUUGAACCGCAUGGUUCAAAAGUGAAAGACGGUCUUGCUGUCACUUAUAGAUGGAUCCGCGCUGCAUUAGCUAGUUGGUAAGGUAACGGCUUACCAAGGCAACGAUGCAUAGCCGACCUGAGAGGGUGAUCGGCCACCCUGGAACUGAGACACGGUCCAGACUCCUACGGGAGGCAGCAGUAGGGAAUCUUCCGCAAUGGGCGAAAGCCUGACGGAGCAACGCCGCGUGAGUGAUGAAGGUCUUCGGAUCGUAAAACUCUGUUAUUAGGGAAGAACAUAUGUGUAAGUAACUGUGCACAUCUUGACGGUACCUAAUCAGAAAGCCACGGCUAACUACGUG